CGUUGCGGAUUUACUCCCCGCAACGGGUGAGGUCGGCACAGCAUACACCGACAGGGCGGGAACG
rnacentral:sRNA from 1 species